rnacentral:sRNA from 1 species
AAGAAAGUGACUGCCGCCCCGCACAGGGGCAACGCUAAUAGACCGACACGAAUACAGGCAGUCCAUAGAUAGAAGCACAAGCAGAUCAAACGAACCAACCAUCAAACCCCGGCCCUCGGCACACCUU